rnacentral:lncRNA from 1 species
GGAACCCCAGGUUUUUGCGUAGAGAGGAAAGUCGUGUGGCGCGUGCUAGGUGUUUGAUGGAAUGGAUGAAUCGGAGAUCCUUGUUGCUGUUGCGAAAUCCAAGUCUAUUUAGUGUUGGUAAGCUAAUUUAUUAUUACUGUUGAUUGAAUUAUUAGAUGAAUGGAAUGGAUAUGUUUAGUGAAUAUAUAUGCAUCAUGAGUUAGUGGUAAUACCUCUUCGUGGAUAGUGACAUGAUUGUAUUCAUGAUUAUGGUUAAAAUAAGUGAUGACGGUAUUGUUGUUCGAAUCUGCACGUAUAGUUUUGAUUGUGCAACUAAUUGAGUGGAGUAAAUCAUGUGUUCUAUAGAAAUGUUAUAUACAAAAGUUGUAGCCAACUUCUUUAUCUUGUUUGUUUAAAAAUUUCAUGACCAUAGGUUUAAUAGUUUAGGAGUUAUGAUUUUUCCAAGUCCAGUUUCAGAAUAUGUCCAAAUUCUGUACAGGUUUCGAAAAUUGGAUUGUUUGGCUAAGCAAAAUUGAGAAUCAGCCCUUAGUAAUUAUACAAGAAUUUUAGUACUUUUCUUAAGCUUUCCAAAAAAGUCUUGGAUCACUUUUUUUGGUAGUCUAGAGACCAAGUUACAGCUGUUUGAACUAUAAAGUCUGAACGUUUUUUGGUGGUCUAGAGACCAAGUUACAGUUGUUUGAACUAUAGAGUCUGAAUCUGUCCAAAUAUGGAUAGAGAAGUCUGUUUGUAUUAACUGACUUUGAUAUGCAUUGAAUUGACCUGAUAUGUUUACCAAUGAAUUGUAGAAAAUUCUAUUAGCUUUCUAAAAAGUCUAGGAUCACUUGAUUUGGACACCUGAGACUCCAAUUAUGGAUUUUUGAAGUGAGUAGUCGAAUUCUGUCCAAAUCUAGACAUAAUUUAUGUUUACUUCUGUUUGACCUUUCUAAAGGUCGAAUCUUGUUGUGAUGGCAAUACAAAAGUUAUAGAGGACUUCAUAAGCUUUCCAGAAAGUCCUAGUUUAUCAUUUUAAGAUGAAUAUCUUGUGAGUUAUGAUUAAAAGAACUGACUGUUGUACUCCUGUCCAAAAUCAGCAAGUAUUAAGUUGAUUUCUGGAGUCAUUCUUGUUUGGCUAGGUAGGAUUAGUUAAUUCUUGAUUCUUGAGUGAUGAAGACUUAUUACAUAUAACUGACAGUGUUGCAAGUACUAAAGAAGGUUGUUGGGGGCCUUCGGUUUCUGAAGGUCCUCAAAUACGUGAUUUAACGAUGUUUCUGGAGUAUAAUACAUGAGCAGGUACCUUCGGACUUGAGUCAAAAUCACAGUGUGAAGAAGCACAAGGGAAACGAAGGAUGGAACAGAGCCGAAGCUGUGCGCAAGGGAGCUUCGACAUGAUGACAAAAAAAGGAAACCGACUUAAAGGGGAAAAGGCUAUCUAGACCUCGAUGAAUUACUAUAGAAUUAUUAGCAAAUGUAAAGGGCCUGGGUGUAAUUUUACAUGGGCUGCGUCCCGUGCCUAUAAAUAGAUGAACAGUACUCCCGUACUGUUCACGCUGACUGGGCAUUUGCUUUUGCGUCACGCUUGUACUUUUACCUUCCUUCAAGCCGAAGGUACUUUUGUAACUUGUUAUUAUUUUUAUUUUUCCUUAAUAAUGAAAUAGAAAUGAUUUGAUGAUAAUAAAUAACUGUUGGUAUUAUAUUUUAUAUCCCAUAUGUUUCUUUCCUCGUUUAUAUGUUGCUUUGACGAAGGUACGUCCUUCACAACCUUCGUCCGAAAAUCAUUAUCUCUCAAAGGGAUAUAAUGCUUCGAAGGACGAAGGACUUUAACAUUUAACAUUCUCUGUGUUGCCUUGUUCUUAACUCAUAGCAUUUGAGAACAAGUCCCCAACAUUGGCGCCCACCUCCGGUGAACCCUUUCCGACCACCUUCGGCAAGCAUCGACCUUCGUCAUGCUGCCAAAGAAAGCUUCAGCAACAGGGGCUGCCGCUCUAUAGCCGCUGGACCCGAACCAGGAGACCCUUUCUCUUCGGGAGGCCCGAAGCCAGAAGAGGAAGGCCACCAGUCCAACGCUUCAGAAGGACGACUUGGACCAAUAAAUCAGGAAUAUAGAGAUACUUCAUCAGUAAGUGCAACGGAAGAAGGAAAAGAUGGCUUGGCUAGCUGACCUGCAAAGGCAGAUAGACGAAGCCUCUGAAGAAGUUCGUCAUCUUGCUCAGGAUGAGCAAAACCGAAGGCCCCAGCACAGAGAGCUUCACCAAGAGGGCUUCGUCAAUGAAGAUGACUGGUAUGAGGAUUUUCAUCAUGGAAAUUUCGCCUUUGAUGAUGCUUCUCCUCUGUUAGCAGAACAGCAGGCUACACCUUGGCUCCCGUCUUACAAACCACCUCAGCUCCCCAUGUAUGACAGACACUCAGAUCCAAAGCAAUUUCUGAUGAGCUACGAAGCAACCAUAUCUUCAUAUGGUGGCAACACUGCAGUCAUGGCGAAAUCCUUCGUCAUGGCAGUCAAAAAUGUUGCACAAACCUGGUACUCCUCUCUUCGGCCAGGAACAAUCACAUCAUGGCAGAAGCUGAAGGACAUGCUGAUCACUAGUUUCCAAGGGUUUCAGACGAAGCCGGUUACUGCUCAAGCUUUGUUCCAGUGCAUGCAAGAUCACAAGGAAUACCUUAAGGCGUAUGUUCGAAGGUUCUUGCAUUUGAGGGCACAAGCGCCAACAGUGCCCAAUGAGAUUGUCAUUAAGGCCAUGAUCAAGGGGCUUCGGCCAGGACCUUCGGCCCAAUACUUCGCCAGGAAACUCCCUCAGACCUUGGAAAAAUUGCUUCAGAAGAUGGAUGAAUACAUCCACGCUGAUAAUGACUUUCGUCAAAGAAGGGAUGAAGCUUAUAGGUUCUCCAAAAUAACCAAGGGCUUCGGAGGGAGAGUCCAUCCUAGACAUGUCAGAUCAAUUCAUUCCACCCAGAAUGACGACAGGGGAAGUCAGCAACAGAGGCCGCAAUUUUCCUCCCAGGCUUCGGGGCAGCAACAGAGCUAUCCUCGGUCCCCAGCUCCAAGGGGCAGAGGCGCCAGGGGCUUCGGAGGAAGGUUUGGGGAUCAGCCUAGGAAAAUUGAUUGCCUAUUCUGCGGUGAGGACAAGGGCCAUACCACCAGGAUGUGCCAUGUCACCAUCCAGAAACAAAAAGAGAUAGCAGAAGCUGCAGCCCAACAGAGCCAGCCGAAGCAAGUUAUGCAUACUGCUUCGUACCACUCACCGUACAUUCCAGAGUAUGUGGGUAACCAUUCUGCAGCUUCUGUUGCUUCGGCAAGCCAAUCUCAGGCAUCUUAGCAGCAGCUUCCACCUCCACCACCAAUACAACGAGGCCAGCAGCGAGAAGGGAGCCAGCACACUCAUCAGCAACGAGACUUCAGAAAGGAGUCCGAAGCUCGCACAGUCAACAAUACUGUGCCAGAGUCGAAGCACAUUUACUAGAAGAUAUCCUACUUCUGAGAUAGUUCUUGCAUUCGUUAUCAUUUUUCUUUUUAAUAAGGAACAGUCAUUGAAAGCCUAAGUUUUUCUUGUCGUUUUCGAUUUCUUGUAACAGCUUCGUUUUUGUCAUAGUAAAAAUAUAUCUUCUCCACAGACUUACGGAAUCCAAAAAGUUGCCGAAGCAUGAAAAAUCGUUCUUAAGAGCUCAUGGCUACAGAAAGCAUAUCCGAAGCUACAAAAAGUCGUCCUACGAAACGCAGCGUAAGUUUGCCGAAGUUAUAAAAAGUCGUUCCUAAGGGAGCGCAGUGUAAGUUUUCUGCUCAAAAGUCAUUCCAAAGAGAAUGCAGAGCUUAGAGCGAAAAAUAAACGCUGAUUCCGCCGAAGUUUAAGGCGAAGCGCAAAAAGUCAACGCGAAAAUCGCCGAAGUAAAAGGCGAAGAAGCUCCUAAGGGAGGCUUACAGCGAAAAGUCAGCGCUGAUACACCGAAAAAUAAGCGGUGAAGCCGAAAAAUAAACGACAAAAAGAUUGUGUGCUCUACUGUGGGAAUGUGUGUGUAUCUUCGGCACAAAUAUCAUGUUGCAUAGAAUAACAUCAUUACAUCAUUUGCAUGGCAUAACAUCAUACAUCAUAUUGCAUCAAUGGCACAAGAAGGGGAUACAAUGUUGAUCUUCGGAGAUUGUUUCGAAGAAGCAGUGCCAAGGCACAAAAUAAGUUUUGAAGAAGUACUGCUUUGUCAACUCUAAUAUGAAAAGGAGAUCUAUUGCUUACGAAGCAUAACGUUUUUAUGGAGAUUGGAUGUUUUUACGAAAUAUGGAUAUCCUUCAUGAAGCAUGAAAAGAAGGGAAGGUGUUUUUUCGCCGAAGGCUCAAAAACGGUAUGUAUGUAAACUUUCAUGCAUCGUAAAGAAUUGAGUUACAAGCAGCUCAUAUAUUACAUUCAAAAUUAUAAAAAUUCUACACACUUUGUUCAACAAAUAUUACAUUCCAAAUGUUUUUACAAUAGCAGCUAUUCUUCUUUUAAAACUACUUCCGCAGCUUCGUUUAACAGUUGAGAAAUAGCUUCAGCCAUUUUAGUGAUUUCUUCCUCUCUCUUUGCUUCUGGGUCGGCUGUUGGCUCGAAAGGCUCCAGGGGAGGAGAUAGCUUAGCUGCGAUACAAAACAUAAAUAAGUUCGAAGUCACAGAAAUAAAACACAAAGUCAAAAGCAAUUAAGCAAUACCUAUCCGCCUUUCAAGUUCCACAGCUUUCUCAGCUGCCUUCAUCGCUUCUUUUGCAUCAUGAGAAUCUUUUUCACUCUUUUUUAUUAUCUCGUGCGCCAUCUCUCGGCCGCCAUUUUUCCAGAUGUCAGUGAAGAAUUUCCCGCCAACUAAGCUUGCUUCGGCCGAGGGGUCUUUUGCAUCUUCAAUAGAUAAGGCAGCUUCGGUUUGAGUCAAAGCUUUCACGUGAUCACAGCCUAAUUUCUCCAAAAUAGCCGCGAUUCCCCUAGCACCUGAGAAGGCGCAGACAUCCCCACGACCACUCAAAACUUCUUCAAACACUUCAGCUUCGUUGCUGAUCCAGUCAAUUGGGCCUUCAGGAUCGCCCCUUACGAAAUUAUCCUCGCUAGAGAAUGCGCCAACAUUGGUGAAGCUAGAUUUUAUUUUUUGCACACAUUCUAUGGAUUUUUUUAGCAUUUCUCUUUUGAAGACCGAAGUUCUACAAUUGUCUUCUCCCAAUAAUUUUUCCAAUAGUUACUGGCGUCUCGGUCAGCUUCGGCAAUUGUACACUUUAACUUCGCUUCAGCCAGCUGUUUCUCAAGAUCUUCAAUUUCGCACUUCUGGGCUUCAGCCUGGGCUUUGGAAGUAGCUUCGUCUUCUUUUCUUUUAUUUAGCAAUGAGUUUAAUAUUUUAUCUUUCUCAAGACCUUCGUUCCUUAGCUCGAUUACUUCAGAACGAAGGUUGUUUAAGGCCAUGGUACAUCCCUCGUCUUCAGCGCCUUUUUGUGCCCUAAGGGCGUUGCUAAGAAUAAGGCCCUGAAAAAGGAAUACGGUAUUAAGUAUAAGCAAAUGGAAAAAUUUUGCUUUUCAGUAAAAUUCAUUUUCUCACCUUUAAGCUAUUGUAUGCUAAGCUGUCGGAUAAUUCAUCUUUUGAUAGCACCGAGAGCCCGCCCUCUAGUGUCGGGAAUCCGAAGCUUUUGCUCAUCUCCCGGUAGACAGAAAUCUCCUUGCUAUCUGGGAGACAAUACAAGAAGUCUUCUUCUCCGCUGCCGUUGAAAAUCAAUGCCCCUUUCGGAUAUUUCAAUUUUUGGGCAUAGAACUGAGCUUCUCGCUUUUCUUUUUCAGUCAACUUUUUCCCCGAAGCAUGUCGUAAAAUAUAAUUGAGAGCUUCGGAAAAUGCUUCGGGGGUGGCAGUGGCAGUUUUUUCAGCCAAGAGUUGUUCUGCCGCUUCUGUUUCUUUUUUCUGGUUUCCAUGGAUUUCUCCUUGGCGGGCUCUGAAGGCCCAGCUUCAGUCUCAGCCUAGUGCUUUGUAGCUUCGGCUUCAGAGGCUGUUGUCUCAAUUUGCGCUUUUGGAGCUUCGGCAAUUUUCUUCGGAGUAGAGCUUGAAGACUUUAUUGUCUCUAGUACAUCCAGAACAUUAACCAUCCUUUUUCUUUUGGGGGUCAUUGCUGGACCUUUCUGGGUUUUUGGCACUUCAACUUCUGCCGAAGGAAUUAAAAUUUCUGAUGUUUUUGUCCCUUUAGCUCUCGGCUCUCCAAUUUUUUCAGCCUUCAGCGUUGCAGUCAGCUCUUCAGUUUUCUGCGCAAGUGCAUGUUCUUUGUCUUCAGUAGCCGAAGAGGGCUCACCGACAAACUCGGGCACUAUGGUCGGUUCAAUGAAGCGCGGUCGGUGAGUAAGGACCUUCACCUUUUUCCUCUUCGACGCAUGCUCGCUUGGAGCAGCUGAAGCAUCAUCCUUACCGGAAGUUGCACCUUUUCUUUUUUGCCCCCAUAGCGGGUAGCGGUAGUCAGGAUACAUGAACCCAAUAGCAUCAAAAACUCUGUUGAGCCUCUUCUUUUUCCGGCCUCCGAAGGUCGCAGAUAGCGCGUUAUCUUCUGCCUUUGAAUAUGGUCCAAGCAAUUCGUCGCUUGUAGCUUCGAUGCACUUCAGCCAAUCAUCAUCUGGCUCAAUAAACUUACCCUUGUAUCUAAAGGUGUAUUUCAACCUAACCAGUCCACCUUCGUCAGACUUGCUGAUAGUUUCCUUUGGCAUUUCCCAUUGCUCUACAAGCGGCCACACUCUGAAGGUUAUGUGCUCCUGGAUUAAAUCCCUCGUCCCGAUGAAAGAACAGACUAUGCCGAAGGCCUUUUGGCAUUCUUCGGCUGCUUCAUCAAUUUCCACCUUCGGUUUCCGAAGGCCGAAGCACUGCCAGAUAGGACGCAUGAUAAUAUCUUUAAUGUCUUCUCGUGCCUUUAAAUCGUUUUUCACGUAAAACCAUUCCUUCAUCCAGUCCCCAGACCAUCUUUUCCAGAAGGUUGGCACGGGGCAGCUCGAGCCAGAGCGAGCGACGAAGCUAUAGCAGCCAAAAUUGUUAUGAUAUUGCUCUUUGCCCCAAGGUUUCGUCUCAUAUAGCAAUUCGUGCAUACUACAUAAACUUUUUGCAUUUGGCUCCAAGCCCUGGCUCCUCACGGUCCAGACGAAGAUUCCCAUUCUUAUAAUUGCUUCGGGAGUAAUUUGAUGAAGGUAAACCUGAUAGAUCUUUAAAACCUCAACCACAAAUUUGCUUAAGGGGAACCGAAGCCCAGCUUUUAAAAAGCUUCGGAAGAUCACAACUUCAUUCUCUUCGGGAGUAGGCACAGUCCUCUCUCCGUCAUCGGCCCUCUAGUAGACAUAUCUCGAAAAUAUCUUCCCCUCAUGUUAUCGAGAUGACUCUGUUUAAUACUCGAUUUUCCGAAGACUGUGUGACUGGGUCGCCACGGUCGAUCUUCGGAGUCCUCACCUCCACUUUCCAUAUCAUAACUGUCACUUUCACCAGUGUCUUCAGAUAAACCUUCUAAAAUCUCCCUAGUGAUCUUCUUUGUAUUCGUCUUUGCUAUCGAUUCAAGAAACCCAAGAUUCUUCUCUUCAGAAAGGCUCAGCUUUGUUUCGGCGACAGCUUUGUUAUCUUGUGACAUCUUUGAAAAAUGUUGAAAACGUGCUCUUAAGGCCGAAGCUAAAAAAUCUAAAAAGCCAGGCAAGCGUUGCUGUGCAAGAGCUAAAAAUUGGGAAAGCAAGAGCAGAUGGCAAGAAAGCGUGCCAAAUGUGCUCGCGGUGCACUCUUAUUUAUACGCCUAGUGCGUUGUGAAAGGGAAUUAGGCUUACACCUAGUUCCUAAAUGAUUUUGGUGGUUGAAUUGCCCAACACAAAUAAAUGGACUAACUAGUUUGCUCUAGUGUAUAAGUUAUACAGGUGCCAAAGGUUCACACUUAGCCAAUAAAAAGACCAAGUAUUGGGUUCAACAAAAAGAGCAAAGGGGCAACCGAAGGCACCUCUGGUCUGGCGCACCGGACUGUCCGGUGUGCCACCGGACAGUGUCCGGUGCACCAGAGGACUCCAAGUCGAACUCGUCACCUUCGGGAAAAUCCAGAGACGCUCCGCUAAAAUUCACCGGACUGUCCGGUGUACACCGGACAGUGUCCGGUGCUCCAAAGAACGGCGUCUCAGGAACUCGCCAGCUUCGGGAAUUCACAACGGCUAGUCCGCUAUAAUUCACCGGACUGUCCGGUGUGCCAUCGAAGCAACAGAUACUUCGGCGCCAACGGCUACCUGCAGCGCAUUAAAUGCCUGCUAGCGCGCGCAGAAGGCAGGCGCGCCCAUACUGGCGCACCGGACACUCUACAGUACAUGUCCGGUGCGCCACCGGACAUCCAGGCGGGCCCAGAAGACAGAGCUCCAACGGUCGGAACCCAACGGCUUUGGUGACGUGGCUGGCGCACCGGACAUGUCCGGUGUGCACCGGACUGUCCGAUGCACCAUACGACAGUCAUCCCCACCAUUCAUUGCAUCCAAGUUUACACACUUCCAACCACUUACAAGAGCUAGGCAUUCAAUUCUAGACACAUUCAAGAGAUCAAAUCCUCUCCCAAAUUCCAUACAACGCCCUAGUGCUUAGAGAGAGAUUUGCUUGUGUUCUUUCGAGCUCUUGCGCUUGGAUUGCUUUCUUCUUUCUUGAUUCUUUCUUGCGAUCAAACUCACUUGUAAUUGAGGCAAGAGACACCAAUCUUGUGGUGGUCCUUGUAGGAACUUUGUGUUCCAAGUGAUUGAGAAGAGAAAGCUCACUCGGUCCGAGGGACCGUUUGAGAGAGGGAAGGGUUGAAAGAGACCCGGCCUUUGUGGCCUCCUCAACGGGGAGUAGGUUUGCAAGAACCGAACCUCGGUAAAACAAAUCCGCGUGUCACACCUCUUAUUUGCUUGCGAUUUGUUUUGCACCCUCUCCCGCGGACUCGAUUAUAUUUCUAACGCUAACUCGGCUUGUAGUUGUGAUUAUUUUUGAGAAUUUCAGUUUCGCCCUAUUCACCCCCCCCUCUAGGUGACUAUCAAUUGGUAUCAAAGCCCGGUGCUUCAUUAGAGCCUAACCGCUCGAAGUGAUGUCGGGAGAUCACGCCAAGAAGGAGAUGGAGACCAGCGAAAAGCCCACUACAAGCAACGAGAAAGCCCUAUCGGGAGAGUCCCGCAACAAGGAGAAGAGGAAGGAGAAGAAGAAGGAAAAGAAGACUUCUUCCCACAAGUCACAUCGGAGUGGCGACAAAAUUAAGAAGAUGAGGAAGGUGGUCUACUACGAGACCGACACUUCAUCACCUUCUACCUCCGGCUCCGACGCACCCUCCAUAACUUCUAAGCGCCAUGAGCGCAAGAAGUUUAGUAAGAUUCCCUUACAUUAUCCUCGUACUUCUAGACAUACUCCAUUACUUUCCGUUCCAUUAGGCAAACCACCGGUUUUUGACGGUGAAGAUUAUAAUAUGUGGAGUGACAAAAUGAGGCAUCAUCUAACCUCACUCCACACAAGCAUAUGGAAUGUUGUUGAGUUUGGUGUACAGGUACCAUCCGUAGGGGAUGAAGACUACGACUCGGACGAGGUGGCCCAAAUUCACCACUUUAACUCCCAAGCCACCACUAUACUCCUCGCCUCUCUAAGUCGAGAGGAGUAUAAUAAGGUGCAAGGGUUAAAAAGUGCGAAGGAAAUUUGGGACGUACUCAAGACCACGCAUGAGGGAGACGAGGUGACAAAAAUCACCAAGCGGGAGACGAUCGAGGGGGAGCUCGGUCGCUUCAUGCUCCACCAAGGGGAGGACCCACAAGCUAUGUACAACCGCUUGAAGACCUUGGUGAACCAAGUGCGCAACCUCAGGAGCGAAAAAUGGGAUGACCAUGAGAUGGUCAAGGUUAUUCUUAGAUCCCUCGUAUUUCUUAACCCUACACAAGUUCAAUUAAUUCGAGGUGAUCCUAGAUAUAAGCUAAUGUCUCCCGAGGAGGUUAUAGGAAAAUUUGUGAGCUUUGAGCUAAUGAUUAAAGGCUCAAAGAAAAUCAUCGAGCAAGGCACCUCCUCCACGCCCGAAGCACAACCCGUCGCAUUCAAGGCAACGGAAGAAAAGAAGGAGGAGGCUACUCCAAGUCGAACACCCAUCGACCCCUCCAAGCUCGACAACGAGGAAAUGGCGCUCAUCAUCAAGAGCUUCCGCCAAAUCCUCAAGCAAAGGAGGGGGAAAGACUACAAACCCCGCUCCAAGAAAGUAUGCUACAAAUGUGGUAAGCCCGGUCAUUUUAUUGCAAAAUGUCCUAUAUCUAGUGACAGUGACAGGGGCGAUGACAAGAAGGGGAGAAGAAAGGAGAAGAAGAGAUACUACAAGAAGAAGGGCGGCGAUGCCCAAGUUUGUCGGGAGUGGGACUCCGACGAAAGCUCUAGCGACUCCUCCUCCGACGAGGACGCCGCCAACAUCGCCGUCACCAAGGGACUUCUCUUCCCCAACGUCGGCCACAAGUGCCUAAUGGCAAAGGACGGCAAAAGGAAGAAGGUUAAAUCAAAAUCCUCCACUAAAUAUGAAUCUUCUAGUGAUGAUAAUGCUAGUGAUGAGGAAGAUAAUUUGCGUACCCUUUUUGCCAACCUUAACAUGGAACAAAAGGAAAACUAAAUGAGCUAAUUAGUGCCAUCAAUGAAAAGGAUGAUCUCUUGGACUCCCAAGAGGACUUCCUAAUCAAGGAAAAUAAAAAGCAUGUUAAGGUUAAGAAUGCUUAUGCUCUAGAGGUAGAAAAAUGUGAAAAAUUAUCUAGUGAGCUAAGCACAUGCCAUGACACUAUCACCAACCUUAGAAAUGAAAAUGCCAAAUUAAUUGCUAAGGUUGAUUCUCAUGUUUGUAAUGUUUCAUCUUCCAAUCCUAGAGAUGAUAAUGUUGAUUUACUUUCUAGGAUUGAUGAGUUGAAUAUUUCUCUUGCUAGCCUUAGGAUUGAAAAUGAAAAAUUGCUUGCUAAGGCUAAAGAUUUUGAUGUUUGCAAUGUUACUAUUUCUAACCUUAGAAGUGAAAACGAUAUAUUACAUGCUAAGGUUGUAGAAUUAAAAUCUUGCAAACCCUCUACAUCUAUAGUUGAGCAUGUAUCUAUUUGUACUAGAUGUAGAGAUGUUGAUAUUAAUGCUAUUCAUGAUCACAUGUCUUUAAUUAAACAACAAAAUGAUCAUAUAGCAAAAUUAGAUGCUAGAAUUGCCGAGCAUAACUUAGAAAAUGAAAAAUUUAAAUUUGCUAGAAGUAUGCUCUAUAAUGGGAGACGCCCUGGCAUCAAGGAUGGCAUUGGCUUCCAAAGGGGAGACAAUGUCAAACUUAAUGCCCCUCCUAAAAGAUUGUCUAAUUUUGUAAAGGGCAAGGCUCCCAUGCCUCAGGAUAACGAGGGUUACAUUUUGUACCCUACCGGUUAUCCCGAGAGCAAGAUUAGGAGAAUCCACUCUAGGAAGUCUCACUCUGGCCCAAAUCAUGCUUUUAUGUAUAAGGGUGAGACAUCUAGUUCUAGGCAACCAACCCGUGCUAAGUUGCCUAAGAAGAGAACUCCUAAUGCAUCAAAUGAUCAUGACAUUUCAUUCAAAACUUUUGAUGCAUCAUAUGUUUUAACUAACAAAUCCGGCAAGGUAGUUGCCAAGUUUGUCGGGGGCAAACACAAGGGCUCCAAGACUUGUGUUUGGGUACCCAAAGUUCUUGUUUCUAAUGCCAAAGGACCCAAAACCGUUUGGGUACCUAAAGUCAAGAACUAAACUUGUUUUGUAGGUUUAUGCAUCCGAGGGCUCAAGUUGGAUCAUCGAUAGCGGGUGCACAAACCACAUGACUGGGGAGAAGAAAAUGUUCUCCUCCUACGAGAAAAACCAAGAUCCCCAACGAGCUAUCACAUUCGGGGAUGGAAAUCAAGGUUUGGUCAAAGGAUUGGGUAUAAUUGCUAUAUCUCUUGAUCAUUCUAUUUCCAAUGUUUUUCUUGUAGAUUCAUUAGAUUACAAUUUGCUUUCUGUAUCUCAAUUAUGCAAAAUGGGCUACAACUGUCUCUUUACUGAUGUAGGUGUCACUGUCUUUAGAAGAAGUGAUGAUUCAAUAGCAUUUAAGGGUGUGUUAGAGGGUCAGCUAUACUUAGUAGAUUUUGAUAAAGCUGAACUCGACACAUGCUUAAUUGCUAAGACUAACAUGGGUUGGCUCUGGCACCGCCGACUAGCCCAUGUUGGGAUGAAGAAUCUUCAUAAGCUUCUAAAGGGAGAGCACAUUUUAGGACUAACCAAUGUUCAUUUUGAGAAAGACAGGGUUUGUAGCGCAUGCCAAGCAGGAAAGCAAGUUGGUGCCCAUCAUCCACACAAGAACAUCAUGACGACCGACAGGCCGCUUGAGCUACUCCACAUGGAUCUAUUCGGCCCGAUUGCUUACAUAAGCAUCGGCGGGAGUAAGCAUUGUCUUGUAAUAGUGGAUGAUUACUCUCGCUUCACUUGGGUAUUCUUUUUGCAGGAAAAAUCUCAAACCCAAGAGACCUUAAAGGGAUUCUUGAGACGGGCUCAAAAUGAGUUCGGCUUAAGGAUCAAGAAAAUUAGAAGCGACAACGGGACGGAGUUCAAGAACUCUCAAAUUGAAGGCUUCCUUGAGGAGGAGGGCAUCAAGCAUGAGUUCUCUUCUCCCUACACGCCACAACAAAAUGGUGUAGUGGAGAGGAAGAAUAGAACUCUAUUGGACAUGGCAAGAACCAUGCUUGAUGAGUACAAGACUUCGGAUCGGUUUUGGGGCGAGGCGGUCAACACCGCCUGCUACGGCAUCAACCGGUUGUAUCUACACCGAAUCCUCAAGAAGACAUCCUAUGAACUCCUAACCGGUAAAAAGCCCAAUAUUUCAUAUUUCAGAGUCUUUGGCAGCAAAUGCUUUAUACUUGUUAAAAGAGGUAGAAAAUCUAAAUUUGCUCCUAAGACUGUAGAAGGCUUUUUACUAGGAUAUGAUUCAAACACAAGGGCAUAUAGAGUCUUUAACAAGUCCUCGGGACUAGUUGAAGUUUCUUGUGACGUUGUGUUUGAUGAAACUAACGACUCUCAAGUAGAGCAAGUUGAUCUUGAUGAGAUAGGUGAUGAAGAGGCUCCGUGCAUCGCGCUAAGGAACAUGUUCAUUGGUGAUGUGUGUCCUAAGGAAUCUGAAGAGCCUCCAAAUGCACAAGAUCAACCAUCCUCCUCCACGCAAGCAUCUCCACCAACUCAAAAUGAGGAUGAAGCUCAAGUUGAUGAAGAAGAAGAUCACGCAAAUGAGCCACCUCAAGAUGACGGCAAUGAUCAAGGGGGUGAUGCAAAUGAUCAAGACAAGGAGGAUGAAGAACAAAGGCCGCCACACCCAAGAGUCCACCAAGCAAUCCAACGAGAUCACCCCGUCGACACCAUCCUCGGCGACAUUCAUAAGGGGGUAACCACUAGAUCUCGUGUUGCACAUUUUUGUGAGCAUUACUCUUUUGUUUCCUCUAUUGAGCCACACAGGGUAGAGGAAGCACUUCAAGAUUUGGAUUGGGUAGUGGCGAUGCAAGAGGAGCUCAACAACUUCACUAGGAAUGAGGUAUGGCAUUUAGUUCCACGUCCUAACCAAAAUGUUGUAGGAACCAAAUGGGUUUUCCGCAAAAAGCAAGAUGAGCAUGGUGUGGUGACAAGGAACAAAGCUCGACUUGUGGCCAAGGGAUACUCCCAAGUCAAAGGUUUGGAUUUCGGUGAAACCUAUGCACCCGUAGCUAGGCUUGAGUCAAUUCGUAUAUUAUUGGCCUAUGCUACUUACCAUGGCUUUAAGCUUUAUCAAAUGGACGUGAAAAGUGCCUUCCUCAAUGGACCAAUCAAGGAAGAGGUCUACGUUGAGCAACCUCCCGGCUUUGAAGAUAGUGAGUACCCUAACCAUGUUUAUAAACUCUCUAAGGCGCUUUAUGGGCUCAAGCAAGCCCCAAGAGCAUGGUAUGAAUGCCUUAGGGAUUUCCUUAUCACUAAUGGCUUCAAAAUUGGAAAGGCUGAUCCUACUCUAUUCACUAAAACUCUUGACAAUGACUUGUUUGUAUGCCAAAUUUAUGUUGAUGAUAUUAUAUUUGGGUCUACUAACGAGUCUACUUGUGAAGAAUUUAGUAGGAUCAUGACACAAAAGUUAGAGAUGUCUAUGAUGGGGGAGUUGAAGUAUUUCUUAGGAUUUCAAGUAAAGCAACUCCAAGAAGGCACCUUCCUAAGCCAAACAAAGUACACUCAAGAUAUUCUAAGCAAGUUUGGAAUGAAGGAUGCCAAACCCAUCAAGACACCCAUGGGAACCAAUGGGCAUCUCGACCUCGACGAGGGAGGUAAAUCCGUCGAUCAAAUGGUAUACCGGUCGAUGAUAGGUUCAUUACUCUAUUUAUGUGCAUCUCGACCGGAUAUUAUGCUUUCCGUAUGCAUGUGUGCAAGAUUCCAAGCCGACCCUAAGGAAGCUCACCUUACGACCGUAAAACGAAUCUUGAGAUAUUUAGUUUAUACUCCUAAGUUUGGGCUUUGGUAUCCUAGGGGAUCCACAUUUGAUUUGAUUGGUUAUUUGGAUGCCGAUUGGGUAGGGUGUAAAAUCAAUAGAAAGAGCACAUCGGGGACUUGCCAGUUCUUGGGAAGAUCCUUGGUGUCUUGGGCUUCAAAGAAGCAAAAUUCCGUAGCUCUUUCUACCGCCAAAGCCGAGUAUAUUGCCGCAGGCCAUUGUUGUGCGCAAUUACUUUGGAUGAGGCAAACCCUUAGGGACUAUGGUUACAAAUUAACCAAAGUUCCUUUGCUAUGUGAUAAUGAGAGUGCAAUCAAAAUGGCGGAUAAUCCCGUCGAGCAUAGCAGCACUAAACACAUAUCCAUUCGGUAUCACUUUUUAAGGGAUCACCAACAAAAGGGAGAUAUCAAGAUUUCUUACAUUAAUACUAAAGAUCAAUUAGCCGAUAUCUUUACCAAGCCACUUGAUGAACAAACUUUUAACAAACUUAGGCAUGAGCUAAAUAUUCUUGAUUCUAGGAACUUCUUUUGUUGAUUUGCACACAUAGCUCAUUUAUAUACCUUUGAUCAUAUCUCUUUCAUAUGCUAUGACUAAUGUGUUUUCAAGUCUAUUUCAAACCAAGUCAUAGGUGUAUUGAAAGGGAAUUAGAGUCUUCGGCGAAGACAAAGGCUUCCACUCCGUAACUCAUCCUUCGCCGUCACUCCAAGCAACUCUCCAUUUUUGGGGAGAAAGCAUGAGCACCAAGCAAAAAGACUCCAUCUUUGGUAUAAUCUUCACUCAUUUAUUUAUGACCAAAGGGGGAGAGAGUUAUUCAAGGGCUCUAAUGAUUCCGUUUUUGGCGAUUCAUGCCAAAGGGGGAGAGAGUAAGAGCCCAAAGCAAAAGGACCGCACCACCACCUAAUUUUAAAACUAAUGAUUUUCAAAUUGGUAUCUCAUUGUGUUCAAAAGGGGGAGAAAGUAGUAUUUUCAAAAUUGUUAUCUUAAAACCCUCUUGAACACUAAGAGGAGGAUUUCAUUAAGGGGGAGUUUUGUUUAGUCAAAGGAAAAGCAUUUGAAACAGGGGGAGAAAAUUUCAAAUCUUGAAAAUGCUUUGCAAAAUCUUAUUCAUUUACCUUUGACUAUUUGCAAAAGAACUUUGAAAAGGAUUUACAAAAGAAUUUGCAAAAACAAAACAUGUGGUGCAAGCGUGGUCCAAAAUGUUAAAAACAAAGAAACAAUCCAUGCAUAUCUUGUAAGUAUUUAUAUUGGCUCAAUUCCAAGCAACCUUUGCACUUACAUUAUGCAAACUAGUUCAAUUAUGCAUUUUUAUACUUGCUUUGGUUUGUGUUGGCAUCAAUCACCAAAAAGGGGGAGAUUGAAAGGGAAUUAGGCUUACACCUAGUUCCUAAAUGAUUUUGGUGGUUGAAUUGCCCAACACAAAUAAAUGGACUAACUAGUUUGCUCUAGUGUAUAAGUUAUACAGGUGCCAAAGGUUCACACUUAGCCAAUAAAAAGACCAAGUAUUGGGUUCAACAAAAAGAGCAAAGGGGCAACCGAAGGCACCUCUGGUCUGGCGCACCGGACUGUCCGGUGUGCCACCGGACAGUGUCCGGUGCACCAGAGGACUCCAAGUCGAACUCGUCACCUUUGAGAAAAUCCAGAGACGCUCCGCUAAAAUUCACCGGACAGUGUCCGGUGCUCCAAAGAACGGCGCCUCAGGAACUCGCCAGCUUCGGGAAUUCACAACGGCUAGUCCGCUAUAAUUCACCGGACAUGUCCGGUGUACACCGAACUGUCCGGUGUGCCAUCGAAGCAACAGAUACUUCGGCGCCAACGGCUACCUGCAGAGCAUUAAAUGCGCGCCAGCGCGCGCAGAAGGCAGGCGCGCCCAUACUGGCGCACCGGACACUCUACAGUACAUGUCCGGUGCGCCACCGGACAUCCAGGCGGGCCCAGAAGACAGAGCUCCAACGGUCGGAACUCAACGGCUUUGGUGACGUGGUUGGCGCACCGGACAUGUCCGGUGUGCACCGGACUGUCCGGUGCACCAUACGACAGUCAGCCCCACCAAACGACUAGUUUGGUGGUUGGGGCUAUAAAUACCCCCAACCACCCACCAUUCGUUGCAUCCAAGUUUACACACUUCCAACCACUUACAAGAGCUAGGCAUUCAAUUCUAGACACAUUCAAGAGAUCAAAUCCUCUCCCAAAUUCCACACAACGCCCUAGUGCUUAGAGAGAGACUUGCUUGUGUUCUUUCGAGCUCUUGCGCUUGGAUUGCUUUCUUCUUUCUUGAUUCUUUCUUGCGAUCAAACUCACUUGUAAUUGAGGCAAGAGACACCAAUCUUGUGGUGGUCCUUGUAGGAACUUUGUGUUCCAAGUGAUUGAGAAGAGAAAGCUCACUCGGUCCGAGGGACCGUUUGAGAGAGGGAAGGGUUGAAAGAGACCCGACCUUUGUGGCCUCCUCAACGGGGAGUAGGUUUGCAAGAACCGAACCUCGGUAAAACAAAUCCACGUGUCACACCUCUUAUUUGCUUGCGAUUUGUUUUGCACCCUCUCCCGUGGACUCGAUUAUAUUUCUAACGCUAACUCGGCUUGUAGUUGUGAUUAUUUUUGAGAAUUUCAGUUUCGCCCUAUUCACCCCCCCCUCUAGGCGACUAUCACGUUGCAAGUGGGAGGGCCCCGCUUGUCAUUGACUGUUGCUAUUCUAGCAAAGAGAAGGUGUGUUUUCGGACCUUUGGCUUAGGGCCUUCGUCCAUAUCACAAUCUGAAUUUAUCAUCCUAACAAAUUAAUAUUGUGAGGGGUUACUGUUGGGGGCCUUCGGCUUCCGAAGGUCCUCAAAAACGUGAUUUAACGAUGUUUCUGGAGUAUAAUACAUGAGCAGGUACCUUUGGACUUGAGUCAAAAUCACAGUGUGAAGAAGCACAAGGGAAACGAAGGAUGGAACAGAGCCGAAGCUGUGCGCAAGGGAGCUUCGGCAUGAUGACAGAAAAAAGGAAACGGACUUAAAGGGGAAAAGGCUAUCUAGACCCCGAUGAAUUACUAUAGAAUUAUUAGCAAAUGUAAAGGGCCUGGGUGUAAUUUUAUAUGGGCUGCGUCCCGUGCCUAUAAA